rnacentral:rRNA from 1 species
GUGACUUUGUUCAACGGCCGCGGUAUCCUAACCGUACAAAGGUAGCGUAAUCACUUGUUCUUUAAAUGAGGACUAGUAUGAAUGGCACCACGAAGGUUAUACUGUCUCCUUCUUUAAUCAGAGAAACUAAACUCUCCCGUGAAGAAGCGGGGAUUAACUAAUAAGACGAGAAGACCCUAUGGACCUUUAAACCGAGUAACAAUUGCUCCUAAUAUUUUCCGGAUUUUUGAUUUAAAUGGCACUUUGAUUCCAAGUAUUAAGGUGGGGUGACCGGGGACAAAAAAAUAACCUCCGCAUUGCAGGGAUCCUUAAACAGAAGGCUACCACUUAAAGCCUCAAUAAAUUGACACUUAUUGACCCACGGUUUUGAUCUGGAAGCCAAUUACCCUACGGAUACCAGCGCAAUCCGCUAUAUGAGAGAUAUACGACGAGUGGGGUUUUUUCCUCGAUGUUGGAUCAGGG